UACGUAGGGACCAAGCGUUGUUCGGAUUUAUUGGGCGUAAAGGGCGCGUAGGCGGUGCGGUAAGUCACCUGUGAAAACUCUGGGCUCAACUCAGAGCCUGCAGGCGAAACUGCCGUGCUUGAGUGUGGGAGAGGUGCGUGGAAUUCCCGGUGUAGCGGUGAAAUGCGUAGAUAUCGGGAGGAAUACCGAUGGCGAAGGCAGGUCUCUGGGCUGACACUGACGCUCAUGCACGAAAGCGUGGGGAGCAAACAGG
rnacentral:rRNA from 1 species